rnacentral:rRNA from 1 species
AGUCGAGCGGACAGAUGGGAGCUUGCUCCCUGAUGUUAGCGGCGGACGGGUGAGUAACACGUGGGUAACCUGCCUGUAAGACUGGGAUAACUCCGGGAAACCGGGGCUAAUACCGGAUGGUUGUUUGAACCGCAUGGUUCAAACAUAAAAGGUGGCUUCGGCUACCACUUACAGAUGGACCCGCGGCGCAUUAGCUAGUUGGUGAGGUAACGGCUCACCAAGGCAACGAUGCGUAGCCGACCUGAGAGGGUGAUCGGCCACACUGGGACUGAGACACGGCCCAGACUCCUACGGGAGGCAGCAGUAGGGAAUCUUCCGCAAUGGACGAAAGUCUGACGGAGCAACGCCGCGUGAGUGAUGAAGGUUUUCGGAUCGUAAAGCUCUGUUGUUAGGGAAGAACAAGUACCGUUCGAAUAGGGCGGUACCUUGACGGUACCUAACCAGAAAGCCACGGCUAACUACGUGCCAGCAGCCGCGGUAAUACGUAGGUGGCAAGCGUUGUCCGGAAUUAUUGGGCGUAAAGGGCUCGCAGGCGGUUUCUUAAGUCUGAUGUGAAAGCCCCCGGCUCAACCGGGGAGGGUCAUUGGAAACUGGGGAACUUGAGUGCAGAAGAGGAGAGUGGAAUUCCACGUGUAGCGGUGAAAUGCGUAGAGAUGUGGAGGAACACCAGUGGCGAAAGCGACUCUCUGGUCUGUAACUGACGCUUAAGGAACCAAAAGCGUGGGGGAACCGAACAGGAUUAGAUACCCGGGUAGUCCACGCCGUAAACCAAUAAGUGCUAAUGUUAGGGGGUUUCCGCCCCUUAAUGCUGCAGCUAACGCAUUAAGCACUCCGCCCGGGGAGUACGGUCGCAAGACUGAAACUCAAAGGAAUUGACGGGGGCCCGCACAAGCGGUGGAACAGGUGGUUUAAUUCGAAGCAACGCGAAGAACCUUACCAGGUCUUGACAUCCUCUGACAAUCCUAGAGAUAGGACGUCCCCUUCGGGGGCAGAGUGACAGGUGGUGCAUGGUUGUCCU